CGGUUUUGCCCCACCAAAGUUGGUUGCCUCUCCAGACGGUUUCGCACCUCAGGACACGAUGGAAUAGAAAUUUUUUCCUUGCAAAAUUUUUCAGUUCACACUUUCCAUCUCUACUUCUUGAUCGAUCGGGCAUAUGCAGACCCAACAAAAAGGUUGAGAAUUUUAUUAAGGCUGGGUGGUGGUAUCAAGCAAGAGAGCGGAUAAAAAAUAUCAGCCGAAAGGUGUGGAUUUUAAGAUCAAGCCGCUCACUGUUGGUGGGAAGAAGUUGAAGCUUACAAUUUGGGAUACCGCUGGACAAGAGAGGUUCAGGACCUUGACAAGCUCAUACUACAGAGGUGCUCAAGGGAUCGUUCUUGGUAUGUCUUGGAAUCGGAGCAUAUGAAGAAAUUUUUUGAUUAUAUUCAACUUCCAAAUUUCGAUAUUGCUGCUGAUGCUGCUGCAACUUUCAAGGAACUCUUGACAAGGCACAAAUAAACUGUAGCUGAAUUCCUUUCAAAGAAUUAUGACUGGACAAAUGCUACUAUGUCAGAUUUUGUGCCAAAUUCACAGCUACUAAGUGGACUCAAGAAGGAUGAAGAUAAAGCUUCUUUUUUGGCUCGUGAAGUAUUUUGGAAGUUUUUAUGACUUUUGAGGCUCGGAUGCUUUUUGUAAACUUGAUUGACUUUGCAUGAACAAUUUGGGUUACACAGUACCACUUCUAUUGUAGUAUUUGUAGGAUGACAUUGAACUUAAACAUUAUAUUUUGGUCCUUUGUAGCAUAAUGGAUGCUUUUAGCUAUUAAUUAGCAGGCCUUUUAUGGUUCUGUUGAUUU